UGGGGAAUCUUGCACAAUGGGGGAAACCCUGAUGCAGCGACGCCGCGUGAGCGAUGAAGCCCUUCGGGGUGUAAAGCUCUUUCGGCAGGGAAGAUUAUGACGGUACCUGCAGAAGCAGCUGCGGCUAACUACGUGCCAGCAGCCGCGGUAAUACGUAGGCAGCGAGCGUUGUUCGGAGUUACUGGGCGUAAAGGGUGUGUAGGCGGUUGUUUAAGUUUGGUGUGAAAUCUCCCGGCUCAACUGGGAGGGUGCGCCGAAUACUGAGUGACUCGAGUGCGGGAGAGGAAAGUGGAAUUCCUGGUGUAGCGGUGAAAUGCGUAGAUAUCAGGAGGAACACCGGUGGUGUAGACGGCUUUCUGGACCGUAACUGACGCUGAAACACGAAAGCGUGGGUAGCAAACA
rnacentral:rRNA from 1 species